rnacentral:misc_RNA from 1 species
CGCACAUUGCGCCCUUUGGUAUUCCGAAGGGCAUGCCUGUUCGAGCGUCAUUAUCACCCCUCAAGCCUCGGCUUGGUGUUGGACUUCGUUGUAGACUUUGCCUGCAACGGGCCUCAAAGACAGUGACGCCGUCCCAGAGGGAACCGGUACGAGGAGCUUCCAGUUAAGCAUGUACGCGGGAGGACUCUGUGGGCGGCGGUCUUUUACUUAUUUUUUCGAGUGUUGACCUCGGAUCAGGUAGGGAUACCCGCUGAACUUAA